AUUGAACGCUGGCGGUAUGCUUAACACAUGCAAGUCGAACGGUAGCAGCUCUUCGGAGGCUGACGAGUGGCGGACGGGUGAGUAACGCGUAGGAAUCUGCCUGUUAGUGGGGGACAACUUAGGGAAACUUAAGCUAAUACCGCAUACGCCCUACGGGGGAAAGGAGGGGAUCUUCGGACCUUUCGCUAACAGAUGAGCCUGCGUAGGAUUAGCUAGUUGGUAGGGUAAAAGCCUACCAAGGCGACGAUCCUUAGCUGUUCUGAGAGGAAGAUCAGCCACACUGGGACUGAGACACGGCCCAGACUCCUACGGGAGCAGCAGUUGGGGAAUAUUGGGACAAUGGUCGGAAGACUGAUCCAGCCAUGCCGCGUGAAGGAUGAAGGCGCUCAGCGUUGAAACUUCUUUGUACGGGACAAAAAUGCGACCUGCGGGUUGUACUGAGGGUACCGUAAGAAUAAGCACCGGCUAACUCCGUG
rnacentral:rRNA from 1 species